rnacentral:rRNA from 1 species
UACGUAGGGUGCGAGCGUUAAUCGGAAUUACUGGGCGUAAAGCGUGCGCAGGCGGCUUUGCAAGACAGUUGUGAAAUCCCCGGGCUCAACCUGGGAACUGCAUCUGUGACUGCAUCGCUGGAGUACGGCAGAGGGGGAUGGAAUUCCGCGUGUAGCAGUGAAAUGCGUAGAUAUGCGGAGGAACACCGAUGGCGAAGGCAAUCCCCUGGGCCUGUACUGACGCUCAUGCACGAAAGCGUGGGGAGCAAACAGG